rnacentral:lncRNA from 1 species
CAAAUCUGACCGGGGGACCCCAAAUCUGACCAGGGAACCCCAAAUCUGACCGGGGGGACCCCAAAUCCUCGGCUUUGGGGGGUUCUGGGACAUUUUGGGGUCCAUGAGGGGUUUUUGGCGUCCCCGUGAGUUUUGGGGUGCCCCCUGUGGAUUUUGGGGUCCUUGAGGGGGUCUCUGUGGGGGUUUUGGGGUCCCUUGGGGUCUCUGUGAGUUUUGGGGUACCUCCGGGAUGUUUUGGGGUCUCUGUGAGUUUUGGGGUGCCCCCUGUGGAUUUUGGGGUCCUUGAGGGGGUCUCUGCGGGUUUUUUGGGGUCUCUGUGGGGUUUUUGGGGUCCCACUGGGAUGUUUUGGGGUCCCUGUGGGGUUUUUGGGGUCUCUGUGAAUUUUGGGGUGCCCCCUGUGGAUUUUGGGGUCCUUCUGGGGUCUCUGUGGGGUUUUUGGGGUCCCACUGGGAAGUUUUGGGGUCCCCCCGGGUUUUGGGGUCAUUGAGUGAAGUUUUGGGGUCUCUGUGAGGUCUCCGUGUAUUUUGGGGUCUCUGUGAGUUUUGGGGUCCCUGCGUGGGGUUUUUGGGGUCUCUGUGGGGUUUUUGGGGUCUCUGUGGGGUCUCUGUGUAUUUUGGGGUCCCACUGGGAAGUUUUGGGGUCCCCACCGGGAGGUUUUGGGGUCUCUGUGAGUUUUGGGGUCGCUGUGUGGGGUUUUUGGGGUCCCUGUGUAUUUUGGGGUCCCCCACUUUGUGCUUUGGGGUCUCUGUGGGGUUUUCGGGGUCCCUGAGGGGUCUCUGUGGGUUUUUUGGGAUCUCUGUGAGUUUUGAGGUCCCCCCGGGAUGUUUUGGGGUCCCCCCCGGGUUUUUGGGUCCCCCUGGCACGUUUUUGGGGUUCCCGGGAUGUUUUUAGGGUCCCCCCUCCGGUUUCUGGGGUCCCCCUGGGAUGUUUUGGGGUUCCCGGGAUGUUUUGGGGUCCCCCCGGGUUUUGGGGUCCCCCCGGGAUGUUUUGGGGUUCCCGGGAUGUUUUUGGGAUCCCCCAAGAUGUUUUAGGGUUCCCGGGAUGUUUUUGGGGUCCCCCCGGGUUUUGGGGUCCCCCCGGGAUGUUUUGGGGUCCCCCCGGGUUUUGGGGUCCCCCCGUGAUGUUUUAGGGUUCCCGGGAUGUUUUGGGGUCCCCCCGGGAUGUUUUUGGGGUCCCCCCGGGAUGUUUUGGGGUCCCCCCGGUUUUUGGGGUCACCCCGGGGGCCGCUGGGGGACGCAGCCGCCGAGCUCCAGCGCCUGCGGCCACCCCUCGUACUUGUUGGAGCCGCGGCUGUUCCGGACGUGCUGCGGGGGUCCCAAAGUGCCCAAAAUCACCCCAAAA